AUUGAACGCUGGCGGCAGGCCUAACACAUGCAAGUCGAGCGGAGCGGCGGACGGGUAGGUAAUGCCUAGGGAUCUGCCUGGUAGUGGGGUAUAACGUCCGGACACGGGCGCUAAUACCACAUACUUUCAGAUGAGUUUAGGGCGGAUUAGCUAGUUGGUGGGGUAAAGGCCUACCAAGGCGACGAGCCGUAAGUGGUCUGAGAGGAUGAUCAGUCACACUGGGACUGAGACACGGUCCAGACUCCUACGGGAGGCAGCAGUGGGGAAUAUUCGACAAUGGGCGAAAGCCUGAUCCAGCCAUGCCGCGUGUGUGAAGAAGGUUUUCGGAUUGUAAAGCACUUUAAGUUGGGAGGCGUUACCAACAGAAUAAGCAACGGCUAACUUCGUGCCAGCAGCCGCGGUAAUAC
rnacentral:rRNA from 1 species